rnacentral:tRNA from 1 species
CAGAGAAUAGUUUAGUUUCAGAAUUCUAGCUUUGGGAGUUAGGGGUAGGAGUUAAAAUCUCUUUUCUUUGA